CCCUGUGGAAAUGAUUGAGGUUCGCCACAACGUUUGUCACGUUUGGCCUUUUCCGUUAAAAUCUGGUGUGUUCAUGUGCUGUCCAGCGUCCACCGCAGGUCAGAUGGAGCUUAGGAAGACAAGGGAGCCAAGUAAUAAACGGGUCAAACCCCUUUCCAGAGUCACAUCACUAGCAAACCUCAUCCCGCCCGUGAAGGCUACACCGCUAAAGCGCUUCAGCCAGACCCUGCAGAAGGGAGCAAGGCAGUGGACCGAAAGGAAGAAAGAGGUAUUUCAACUUGUAAACUGGGGUGAGGCGGUGUCCUUUGAGAGGGGUAACUUGAAGAGUCAUCUCUGUCCAGUCUUUUCUCACAAUUGUAUUUCCGAGUUGUGUGCCCUGUCCAGACGCCCUCUGACAGGUUUCAUUCUAACGUGUCUCCAGGCUUCUAAGGAUGUGAGUCCGAAGGCAAGAGAGCCUCGUGGUGUAGGUCGGGAUCUGCAAAUUAUAGCCCAUGGGAAAAGAUUCAGCCCACCUUCUGUCUUCUUACGGCCCACGAGCUAGGAAUGUUUUUUACUUUUUUGAAUGGCUGGGGGGAAAUUAAAAGAGGAAUUAUAUUCCCCCACACGUGAAAAUGAUAUGAAAUUCUAAUUUCAGUGUCCGUGAAUAAAGUUGUGUUGGGACACAGGUAUGCCCAAUGUUUAUGUCCUG